AAAGUCGUAACAAGGUUUCCGUAGGUGAACCUGCGGAAGGAUCAUUAACACUUUCAUUUUAUUGAAAAUUUAUUUUUCAAUAAUUUAAUUACCCACAUUUUUGGAUGAAUUAUUUCUUUUUUAUUCUUUUUUAAAUUUUAAACCCAAAUACCAUAUUAUUUCUAACAUUUAUACAAAAAAGUUUAAGAAAAACAUAAAAAACAACUCUUAACAACGGAUAUCUAGGCUCUC
rnacentral:misc_RNA from 1 species